AUAUCAAUAAGCGGAGGAAAAGAAACCAACAGGGAUUACCUCAGUAACGGCGAGUGAAGCGGUAACAGCUCAAAUUUGAAAGCUGCCAACAGGCCGCGUUGUAAUUUGUAGAAGAUGCUUUGGGUGUCGGCCUAGUCUAAGUUCCUUGGAACAGGACGUCAUAGAGGGUGAGAAUCCCGUAUGUGAUUAGUGCCGUCCCCCGUGUAAAGCUCUUUCGACGAGUCGAGUUGUUUGGGAAUGCAGCUCUAAAUGGGUGGUAUAUUUCAUCUAAAGCUAAAUAUUGGCCAGAGACCGAUAGCGCACAAGUA
rnacentral:rRNA from 1 species